GGCGAUCGUAGCACAACUGACCAGAGCGCCGGAGUACCAAUCUGGAGGUCGCGGGUUCGAAUCCCGCCUGCCA
rnacentral:tRNA from 1 species